rnacentral:misc_RNA from 1 species
UCGAGACCCGAACGAACGGACGAUUGCGAACGAGUUAUAUAUUUGCUUACUAACCACUCCGCUUCGCCACGUCGCACCUUGCGGCGCGGCGUGACGAGACGGAGGAAACGAAACCCCGGCGCGGUGGGCGCCAAGGAACACUUUUUGGAAGCGCCGUCGCGGCCUCCUGCCCCUCCCCCACCAUGGGGAGGAAGGAGGGGGAACGCGGGCGUGGAUAUGGAUAUCGUAUUCUGUACGACUCUCGGCAACGGAUAUCUAGGCUCUCGCAUCGAUGAAGAACGUAGCGAAAUGCGAUACUUGGUGUGAAUUGCAGAAUCCCGUGAACCAUCGAGUCUUUGAACGCAAGUUGCGCCCGAGGCCAUCCGGCCGAGGGCACGCCUGCCUGGGCGUCACGCCUCCCGUCGCUCCCCACAGCCGUGCGGAUGCGGAGAUUGGCCCACCGUGCUUCGUGCGCGGCGGGUCGAAGUGCGGGCCGUCGUCGGGCCGGGCGCGGCGAAUGGUGGACGAAUACUUCGUUGUUUGUGCCUACUCUCCGUGCCCCGGCCCUCAGCAGUGCGACGCGCCGUCGUCGGACCCCUCACCGAGGAAGGACCCUCUUCUCCUUCUUCCUAGAAGAAGGAGAAGGAUGGAUACGUGUCCUCGGAACG